rnacentral:tRNA from 1 species
GCGCCGAUAAUUUAAUGGUAGAAUCUCAGCUUCCCAAGCUGAUAGUCCGGGUUCAACUCCCGGUCGGCGCA